UCCACGACCUCGAUGACAACAUUUGCAGUUCCAGGGAGCUCCGGCGGACCUGAAUCAAGUGUAAUCUUGACAGAGUCGAAGAUCUCCAGCCUCUGGAGCUUGGCAUUGGCUACACCCGCGGCCUCCAGCAGUUCUUGCAUGGUUGAGGCAUUCUUAAUAGCCUCCACUUCGGCCUCGAUUAGAGAAUCCUUGGUCUUCGUGUUCCCCUUG
rnacentral:misc_RNA from 1 species